UAGAUAAGAACACAUGAAGAGAAAUGUU
rnacentral:piRNA from 1 species